rnacentral:snoRNA from 1 species
GAUCAAUGAUGAUAUAAAGGCUAAUGUGACUCGACCAGCUGGGCUGCACCCUCAGCCCAUUCCAGUAAUACGGGUCUGUAAUCUUGGUGGACAAUGCUGAGCUGUGCAUGUUCGCUGUAAGGGCAGACCGACAGAAAAUAUGCUUCCCUGUGCCCCUGGAAAAUACAUCUUUGGGAUGUGCCAGCUCUGAGUGAGCGAUUCCAUGAGCUGCCCCAGGGCUGUGGGGAUAGGAUGGGACAGCGCCUCCAAGGUUUGGGUUGCAGGGGGCAGCCCGUGUUACAGCUGGCGAGACGUGAGCACAUGUCUUUGGUAAUCUGAUGACU